CCUACGGGUGGCAGCAGUGGGGAAUAUUGCACAAUGGGCGCAAGCCUGAUGCAGCCAUGCCGCGUGUGUGAAGAAGGCCUUCGGGUUGUAAAGCACUUUCAGCGGGGAGGAAGGCGGUGAGGUUAAUAACCUCAUCGAUUGACGUUACCCGCAGAAGAAGCACCGGCUAACUCCGUGCCAGCAGCCGCGGUAAUACGGAGGGUGCAAGCGUUAAUCGGAAUUACAGGGCGUAAAGCGCACGCAGGCGGUCUGUCAAGUCGGAUGUGAAAUCCCCGGGCUCAACCUGGGAACUGCAUUCGAAACUGGCAGGCUAGAGUCUUGUAGAGGGGGGUAGAAUUCCAGGUGUAGCGGUGAAAUGCGUAGAGAUCUGGAGGAAUACCGGUGGCGAAGGCGGCCCCCUGGACAAAGACUGACGCUCAGGUGCGAAAGCGUGGGGAGCAAACAGGAUUAGAUACCCGAGUAGUC
rnacentral:rRNA from 1 species